AGUGAACGCUGGCGGUAGGCCUAACACAUGCAAGUCGAACGGCAGCACAGUAAGAGCUUGCUCUUACGGGUGGCGAGUGGCGGACGGGUGAGGAAUACAUCGGAAUCUACUUUUUCGUGGGGGAUAAUGUAGGGAAACUUACGCUAAUACCGCAUACGACCUACGGGUGAAAGCAGGGGAUCUUCGGACCUUGCGCGAUUGAAUGAGCCGAUGUCGGAUUAGCUAGUUGGCGGGGUAAAGGCCCACCAAGGCGACGAUCCGUAGCUGGUCUGAGAGGAUGAUCAGCCACACUGGAACUGAGACACGGUCCAGCCUCCUACGGGAGGCAGCAGUGGGGAAUAUUGGACAAUGGGCGCAAGCCUGAUCCAGCCAUACCGCGUGGGUGAAGAAGGCCUUCGGGUUGUAAAGCCCUUUUGUUGGGAAAGAAAAGCAGCAGGUUAAUACCCCGCUGUUCUGACGGUACCCAAAGAAUAAGCACCGGCUAACUUCGUG
rnacentral:rRNA from 1 species